ACACUUGUAUGAUUCUCCCCUUUGAAACUUCAAACUCCAGUUUGUGAGCAAAGUCCUGUCUAUCUUCUGAAUAGGAAUCUCCGACCACUGACCAAACUCCAUUUGCAACCACUGCCUAUUUGUACCUUCUCCUCAAUGACUACAUUUCAUUUCCCUCAAGGCAAGUGGCAGGGGAAGCAAAACAGUAAAAAAAAAAUGAACAAGGCAGCGGAAGGAAGAGGGGAAAGAGGAAAUAAAGAUGACGGCUGUGGCCUGGAGGAAAACGAGGAACUCGCUCUGUCCUGUUUUGGGGAUUGUUUCUGAGAGAUCUGCAACACAGUGGAAAUGUGAGGCACAUCCAGGAGCGUGUUGAUAAGAGUAAAACAGACGGAGACAAUAUGCUGCCUGCAGCAGAUAUGAGGCCGGAAGAAAGAGGUGGUUGCAGGAGAUGGAGGAGAUAGCUGGAUGCACCUUUUCAUGAGAACUGAUUUUAAAUACGUCUUCAUCUCCCAGCAAAAAAAGGUCAGUAAAGGACCGAAGCGCAGAGGUCGACUGUGCUGGGAAACGAUUAUUUUGAUAAUAAAUGAAGAUCGAAUCAGCCGAGAACAAUGAGAAGUCAUGGAGCUGAGAUCGUCUCUGGUGUAUGGAGAGAAAAUUGUUUCAAUAUUUUUAAAAGCCCAGAGC